rnacentral:lncRNA from 1 species
GUUUCCAGUGGGCAUCAUAUUGAAUAAUAUUACGUCAGAACAGAGAGCUUGUAUCUAGUUUAACCAUCCGACUCACUAGCGUGCACAUCUCUCCAGGCCGGUUACUACUCACGAGGCACUGAUCUCGUGAUACGCAAUGAUUGAUGAGAUCUCCCGCUCCAAGUUCACGCAAAUUCACUCACAUGCACCAAGAAAAAUCAUUGGUCAUCGAUGCGCGGUACCAGCGUGACGUCACAGGGGACUGGAACAAGAUUGGUUCUCCGAUCAAACUGCUUUGAUCAAAUCCUACCUUUCUCCGUACAUCUGAUCUCGUCGGCGGAAAAAGAGAGGGGAGAGGGUGUGCUUUUACUCGAUGUUACAGAUUUUGCAGGCCGGAGACAGGGCUCAAUUAUUUUCUCUUCUCGGCAAGCUUAAUUAUAAGGUCUAUUAUAAAUACAGAUCCAUCUCAUUUGCGCGGCAUCAGACGUUUCCAACCUGCCGGGCUGUGUGUCUUAUAGUGUCCUGUGUUUCUUCCUUGUUUUCUAAUUAGCUUUCGACCAUGUAUUUCUCUCAAAGCCUGCUAUUCGUCUCGCUGGCUGCGAUGCUGAGCCAAGGGUGGUGCGGCUACGACGACCACUACGACCACCACGAGCCGGCCCACUACUCGUUCGCCUACUCGGUGAACGACCACCACACGGGCGACAUCCACUCGCAGCACGAGUCCGGCACGGCGACUCCGUCCACGGCUCCUACUCCCUCGUCGAGCCGGACGGGCACGUGAGGACCGUCAAGUACGAGGCCGACCACAAGCACGGCUUCAACGCCCACGUCAGCCGGAAGGAGUACCACCACGGCUACCACGCCCCCGCCCCGUCCACCACCACCACGAGAGCCACCACCCCACCGCCUACUUCCAUCUUCACUAGAGUUGAAGUCAUCUGUUCCCGGAUCAGGAGGACCUGUCGCGGGCAAUGCUACCCGAGAUGAAUCUUCGGUCAUGAGAGACACCAGCGGACUCAUUAUUGUUGAAAUUGAUAGACAAAGCGAUAGACAAAGAAGGCAUAAAGAGUACGGAGCGCUCCUAUUUGUUGAAUUCGCACUGGGAAAAAAAACGCUUGAAUCUCGAGUCCAGACUCUUGAAA